rfam:Brachypodium distachyon strain Bd21 chromosome 4, whole genome shotgun sequence.
AUGGUACUCCUUCCGUCCAACAAAAGAUGUCUCAAAUUUGUCAAAAUUAGGAUGUAUGUAGACAUGACUUAGUGUAUAGAUGCAUUCAAAUUUAGUCAAAGUUGAGAUAUCCUUUGUUGGACGGAGGAAUACAUC